GUGAUUUUUUUUUUAAAUGAGAAGCCAUGCCUCUCAUGCUUUUGUCAGAAUAGAGCAGUUUUGCUGCUUAAAGUCAGAUCUGCACCUUUUGCAAUAAAGAAGGAUAAAUCUUUGCCUUAAACUGCAGACCCGCUGCCAACCGCACCUUCCGAUGUAUGAAGAUAGAAAUAUGUUAACUAUUGAGGUAGGUGGCAACAUUUUGGAUCAAGAGACUUCUGAUUGUGCAAUGAGGUCAGCUUGAGUGGACCCAGGCACUCAAAUGGAGUCCCAGAGGCUGGACAGAUUUGAUGAUGAAUUUUAGCAGACAGAAUCCCUGCCCUCUGCAGCUGUGAAGCCCUGGGAAAUAAUCCACACAAAAGAAUUUCGGAAAUGAAAGCUGUCUUUGCCAUCUUCUGUUUAAUUAACACAGCCAAUAAGGUGCAAGUUCUUGUUGCCCAAUCCCCACCUUCAGCCAAGGAACAGGUCUGAGUAAUCCAUUGAAAGGAGAAAAUUAAAGACUAGAAGGUAAUACACAGAGGGCUUCCCAGAUAAUGACAAAGUUGUAUGUAGCUAGAGAUAGCAACAAAACUAGAUCUAUGCAUCAAGACUCAAAGCCUUUCUAACUUCUGGAUGGUUUGAUGCAUUCACUGAAGUCUGGCCAACAUGACCUGAGGGUAUUUGCAUUGAUGAGAUGCUUCCAAACAUUCUGCCUCCCUUUCUUCCUCUCUCUAUCCUCAACAAGUCCUGGAACUACCUCUGAAGACAUUUAAGAAGGAAAGCUGCUGCAUUCUGCAUGAGUGAGUUUAGUAACUUCCAUCUUCAACUCUGGCUACUGAGAACUGCUAAGGCCCAGCCUAGGAAUGAUGAACACACAGAUCAUUGUGGCCAGAUCCUCAUCUAAGAAGACUGGAGUCCAGGUUUGCUGUCGUGGAGACCAGAGAAGAAGUAACCAAAGAAAGGAAAAGAAACACUGGAGAAUAAAAGUACAUUUGAAAUGGAAGAAAUCUACAUUUCAAUGAAAAUACUUUUAAGCCAUUUCAGAUGACUGAGUGAAAUAAUUACAAAGUUUGGAAAUAGAGAACAGUAGCUUUGAUAUCUUUUUCUUCUGUGAAGCAAUUAAAAUAAGCAAUUUUUCAAAUACUAAGCAGAAAAUUGCUAAUGGUUGAACC